rnacentral:rRNA from 1 species
UACGAAGGGGGCUAGCGUUGUUCGGAAUUACUGGGCGUAAAGGGCGCGUAGGCGGUGUGUCAAGUCAGGCGUGAAAGCCCCGGGCUCAACCUGGGAACCGCGCUUGAGACUGGCACGCUCGAGUUCGGGAGAGGAUGGUGGAAUUCCCAGUGUAGAGGUGAAAUUCGUAGAUAUUGGGAAGAACACCGAUGGCGAAGGCAGCCAUCUGGACCGACACUGACGCUGAGGAGCGAAAGCGUGGGGAGCGAACAGG